UUCACAUGCCUAAUACAUGCAAGUCGAGCGACGAGAAUGAGCUUGCUCCUUUGACGUAGCGGCGGACGUGGUGAGUAACACGUGGGCAACCUACCUUAUAGUUGGGAUAACUCCGGGAAACCUGGNUGCUAAUACCUGAAUAAUCUAUUUUACUUCAUGGUGAAAUACUGAAAGACUGUGUUUCUGUGCUUGUCGCUAUAAGAUGGGCCCGCUGUGCUGCAUUAGCUAGUUGGUGAGUGUAACGUGCUCACCAAUGCUGACGAUGCGUAGCCUGACCUGAGAGGGUGAUCGGCCACACUGGUGACUGAGACACUGNGCCCAGACUCCUACGGGAGUGCAGCAGUAGGGAAUCUUCCACAAUGGGCUGAAAGCCUUGAUUGGAGCAAACGCCGCUGUGAGUGAAGAAGGUUUUCUGGAUCGUAAAACUUCUGUUGUAAGGGAAGAACAAUGGUACAGUAAGUAACUGGCUGUACCUUGACCUGGUACCUUAUUAGAAAAGCCACGGUCUAACUACGGUG
rnacentral:rRNA from 1 species